GUGCCAGCAGCCGCGGUAAUACGGAGGGUGCAAGCGUUAUCCGGAUUUACUGGGUUUAAAGGGUGUGUAGGCGGAUUAUUAAGUCAGUGGUGAAAUCCCGAGGCUCAACCUCGGAACUGCCAUUGAUACUAUUAGUCUUGAAUGUUGUGGAGGUGGGCGGAACGGGUCAUGUAGCGGUGAAAUGCAUAGAUAUGACCCGGAACACCGAUUGCGAAGGCAGCCCGCUACGCAACGAUUGACGCUGAGGCACGAAAGCGUGGGGAUCAAACAGGAUUAGAAACCCUCGUAGUCC
rnacentral:rRNA from 1 species